rnacentral:rRNA from 1 species
CCAGCCACACUGGAACUGAGACACGGUCCAGACUCCUACGGGAGGCAGCAGUGGGGAAUAUUGCACAAUGGGCGCAAGCCUGAUGCAGCCAUGCCGCGUGUAUGAAGAAGGCCUUCGGGUUGUAAAGUACUUUCAGCGGGGAGGAAGGGAGUAAAGUUAAUACCUUUGCUCAUUGACGUUACCCGCAGAAGAAGCACCGGCUAACUCCGUGCCAGCAGCCGCGGUAAUACGGAGGGUGCAAGCGUUAAUCGGAAUUACUGGGCGUAAAGCGCACGCAGGCGGUUUGUUAAGUCAGAUGUGAAAUCCCCGGGCUCAACCUGGGAACUGCAUCUGAUACUGGCAAGCUUGAGUCUCGUAGAGGGGGGUAGAAUUCCAGGUGUAGCGGUGAAAUGCG